rnacentral:rRNA from 1 species
GCGAAAUCUGGCACAGAACCCGGUGUAAUAGGAAGGUGUCAAGCGGUACUCGGAAUUAAGGGGCGUAAAGCGUGCGUAGGUGGUUGUGUAAGUCUGUCGUGAAAGCCCUGGGCGCAACCUGGGAACUGCGAUGGAAACUGGGCGACUAGAGUGUGGUAGAGGGUAGCGGAAUUCCUGGUGUAGCAGUGAAAUGCGUAGAUAUCAGGAGGAACAGCCAUGGCGAAGGCAGCUACCUGGGCCAACACUGACACUGAGGCACGAAAGCGUGGGGAGCAAACAGGAUUAGAUACCCGAGUAGUC